GGCUUUUAUAAAAUACACAUGAAAGGACAGUAUAAUUGUUUUUGUUAGUAUUUUAAAAGUAAUUAAAAAUCGUUUUAAGGAGUGCUUCAUGUCUUAGACGGUAACAACUGCCAAGUGUCCUGAUAAGGAGCACAAGAGGUGGAUAAUGUUUGACAGGACUUUUGUGACGACGGAUCAAAGGUCCAAGUGUGUUUUCCUGUCAGAUCCACAUUCACACUUCAGACGGAUUUCUGUCGGGGGGAGUGUAAAUCUGAUCCGGGCUUUAUAGUGUGUGGGAGCAUCCUGUCUUCAGCAUCAUGGUGGAAUUGGCCUUCUACCCAGGGGUGGCACUGAUGUAUUUUUUCGGAGUGAUGAAAGCCACACAGGACGAUCGGGUGGAGCUGGAUGACCGUGCGUCGAUGAACGUGUUCUGUCUGUUCGUGUUGGCACAGCCGCUGUGUCUGGUACUGGGAGGAUACACUGGCAUGGCUACAUACCUCCUCACAGCUCUAGUCUCCUACAACUUCCUGCCUUGGAGGAAGACAAAACAGCCUGCGAAGGGAAAAGAAUCAAAAAAGAAGACUAAGUGAGAACAAGAAACGUACGCUGUAUGGAAAUGACAACACAGUGGAUUCAAACAGGUUGCAAAAGAAAAAAAUAUUUUGGCUAUUUAAAGAAUAAGCAUUCAAUGUGAAAAUCGUAUAUGAAUAAAUGAUUGUGUUGCUCAACCAUGCAGUAGUUAUUUAACCUGUUUCUACAAGGCUGCCACGGCUCGAUUCACAAAUGCAUUUCUUUUAAAAAGGGAAUAAUUUGUAGCCAACCUGGUGGCUCCUUCCAUUUCAGCCAACAACACAUAUUUGUGUGUGCAUCAGAAAUACAUUUGGGAAACUUCAUUUUUUAUAUGUGGAUUUUCUUUUUUACAUUUAUGUACAAUGAUAAAUAUUCUUAUGUGCAUUGAAAAUAUUUUGUGGAGAGUCAUUUAUAUAUAAAUCACAAAAUUAUUUGUGAAUCCAACUCAAUGGAUACCCAACUCAACAUGAAUAUGACUGACCAUUAAAUGAAUGAAAUAUCAAACACAUUAUACACAUUCAUGAGCAUUGCCAGAAAAUUUCACCCACAAAGACAUCAUUAUUACUAACACUUGGGGGAAAAAAUCUGCAUUGUGUUUUUUAUUUUAUUAUCCACCCAAUGUUCAUGAAUGACUGUGUCCCUCUGAUGUGCUUAAACCUGGUAGUGUGGAGAGUGUGAUUGUGUGCUGUGUAAAACCGGGCUCAAAGAGAGAGUGUAUGGGAUUAGACUGUGCUAUUAAGUCGAUAGUCCGAGGCUUUGUUCAGUGGUUGUGCAGAUGUUCGCUGUGUGCAUCUGAAAAACAGAUGGAUUUUUUUAUUGAAGAUGCUCAUGACUUCCCUCAGCAUUAAAAUCCUCUUUGAGUUCAUUUUGUAUGAAGUCAUUUUCUAGAUUCCCACAGUGUCUCACCCUCAGUUUUCUUACUAUAAGUGUGAAUUUAUGUAGCAUAAAUAAGGUAUCCUAUUGUCUCAAGCAUUCGCUACAAAGUUUGCAUUUCCAUUGUUAUUAGCUUUGAAAUCCUCUUUCAAAGUUAUACCAGUCCACGAGAAAAUGUUUGUUCAAUCUCCUAUACAAGCUGUAUAUAUGUGCAGUAUGUUCUCAGUUCACCAUGCUUAUUGUCACGUCAGUGGUGCUGCCUUUUGCUUCCUCCAUUAUUUAAAAAUAUCAUAAAUAGUCCGCCCCUCCUGAACCUCUACUGCUAAUUUAUUGCCUGAGAGCAUUCUUCUUAUUCCCCAGCCAGUCCUCCUAGAUGAAAAUGUCCCCUU